UACGUAGGGCGCAAGCGUUAUCCGGAAUUAUUGGGCGUAAAGAGCUCGUAGGCGGCUUGUCGCGUCGACUGUGAAAUCCCGCGGCUCAACUGCGGGUCUGCAGUCGAUACGGGCAGGCUAGAGUUCGGUAGGGGAGACUGGAAUUCCUGGUGUAGCGGUGAAAUGCGCAGAUAUCAGGAGGAACACCGGUAGUCGGAAGGCGGGUCUCUGGGCCUACUGACGCUGAGGAGCGAAAGCGUGGGGGAGCGAACAG
rnacentral:rRNA from 1 species